UACGUAGGGUGCGAGCGUUGUCCGGAAUUAUUGGGCGUAAAGGGCUCGUAGGCGGUCUGUUGCGUCAGGAGUGAAAACUCGGGCUUACCCGAGCCUGCUUCUGAUACGGGCAGACUAGAGGUAUGGCAGGGGAGAACGGAAUUCCUGGUGUAGCGGUGAAAUGCGCAGAUAUCAGGAGGAACACCGGUGGCGAAGGCGGUUCUCUGGGCCUUACCUGACGCUGAGGAGCGAAGGCGUGGGGAGCGAACAGG
rnacentral:rRNA from 1 species